rnacentral:tRNA from 1 species
UCGGGGGUCGUCUAAUGGUAGGACGGCAGACUCUGGAUCUGCUAGUGUUGGUUCGAGUCCAGCCCCCCGAG